ensembl:lncRNA AHI1-DT AHI1 divergent transcript
GCCUCCACCGCCUUCUUCCAGGAGGAGGGGCCGUGCGGCGCCUGCCCGGGGGCCCUCAGGCCGCAGGCGGGCGCGAGCUUCAGGGAACUUAGGGGGCUCCCGCCUCCCCGGCCACGCGAGCGGGAACAGUCUCCUCCACUCGGAGCGGCGCCAUCUUCAGCUCUGAGUCACCAGGGCUGGAAAAAUACUAGAUGCGCUACUCGUGGACUCGUGAAUACACUCGUGAAUACAGGCCAUUUCCUGUACCUACAGCCACCCGCUAUUAUAGAUCCAGACUCCUGUGCCUGACCACUGCCCAUGGCCAACUCUCUGCUGAUGACUGGACUUGACUACACAAGUUGUUGGCAAUUCUACCACCUUUGUUGACCUCUUCUUCCCCCCAACUUAUUGCUGUAGAGGCUACCUGAGCUCAUUGUCCCUGGAGAUGGACCAAAUAGAAGAAUAAGCAGUGCCUGUGUGGUGAGCUUCAAGAGGCAUCUGUUCUCUGGGGAGUGGGUGGGUGGUAAAGCAAAGACGGGAGAUGUGUAUAUUAGCUAUCCAUUACUGUAUAAUUAAUUAUACACAAAACUAAACUAUACACUAAACUAAAACUUCACAGCUUAAAACAGGAAAUAUGUAUUAUCUCACACAAUUUCUGAGAGUCAGGAAUCUGAAAAUGGCUUAGCUAGUUUGGUUCUGGCUCAGGGUGACCUAUGGAGUUGCAGCCAAGAUGUCAUCUGGGACUACUAUCAUUGGAAGGCUCAGCUGGGGCUGGAGGCUACACUUCCAAGAUGGCUCACUUAUAGGGCUAUUGGUGGGAGGCUUCAGUUCCUCUCCACAUGAAACUUUCCUCAUGCCAUGGAACUGGCUUCCCUCAGAGUGAAAGACCCAAGAGAGAGACUAAGACAGAAGCUGCAAUGUUUUUAUGACCUAGUCUUGGAAGUGACUUACUGUCAUUUCUACUGUAUUUUAUUCAUUAGAAGCAAGUCAUUAAGUCCAGCCCACAUUCAAAGUAAGAGGAUUUAAGCUGAACCUCUUGAAAAAAUGGUAUCAAAGUAUUUACGGACAUUUUAAAAACUACCACAAUACAUAUAGGUGAACUUCACAAGGUGUAGACAUGGGCUGAGACAGAAUAUUGGAUAAUAUCUCAUUCUGCAAACAGCAGCCUCAUCUGUAAUAAAAUCCCAGCAUUCAGAAAUUAUCACGAUCAAGUAGGAAAAGGGCUUGUUGGAAAAAACUUAUCAAAGAUGUUACUUCAUUUAUCCAUUUAUUCUGAGCCAUAGCAUAAUAGCGACAAAUUGUGUGUCCUGUGUAAUUUGGAUACCUCUGCUCAAUAAUAGCUGAACAGAUUUUAUCCUAUUUUUAGAAUAGUUAAUAUAUACACAUGGCACAAAAUUUAAAAGGUAUAAAAGUUUCUGGUUCAAAAAUAAGAUUCCCUCAUUUUCUUUUUUUCUGAUUCUUUGAAUGCAAUUCGAUUUACUGAUUUCUCAUGUAGCCUUAGAAAGUAUUCUAUGUACUUACAAACAUAUAUGUACACAUAUUUUUUCUUUCCCACAAAUAAAAUACUGUAUGCAUUG